AGUAAAUAGAUACCCCGGUAGUCCACGCCGUAAACGAUGUCGACUUGGAGGUUGUGCCCUUGAGGCGUGGCUUCCGGAGCUAAACGCGUUAAAGUCGACCGCCUGGGGAGUACGGCCGCAAGGUUAAAACUCAAAUGAAUUGACGGGGGCCCGCACAAGCGGUGGAGCAUGUGGUUUAAUUCGAUGCAACGCGAAGAACCUUACCUACUCUUGACAUCCAGAGAACUUAGCAGAGAUGCUUUGGUGCCUUCGGGAACUCUGAGACAGGUGCUGCAUGGCUGUCGUCAGCUCGUGUUGUGAAAUGUUGGGUUAAGUCCCGCAACGAGCGCAACCCUUAUCCUUUGUUGCCAGCGGUUAGGCCGGGAACUCAAAGGAGACUGCCAGUGAUAAACUGGAGGAAGGUGGGGAUGACGUCAGGUCAUCAUGGCCCUUACGAGUAGGGCUACACACGUGCUACAAUGGCGCAUACAAAGAGAAGCGACCUCGCGAGAGCAAGCGGACCUC
rnacentral:rRNA from 1 species